UAUUCAGUAUAUAUCACGCUGAGAGCACCGGUUCUCGUCCGAUCACCGAAGUUUAGCAACGUCGAGCCUAGUGAGUACUUAGAUGGGUGACCGCUUGGGAAACC
rnacentral:rRNA from 1 species